UACGGGGGGAGCAAGCGUUGUUCGGAUUUACUGGGCGUAAAGGGCGUGUAGGCGGCCAGCACAAGUCAGUUGUGAAAUCUCCGGGCUUAACUCGGAAAGGUCAACUGAUACUGUGCGGCUAGAGUGCGGAAGGGGCAACUGGAAUUCUUGGUGUAGCGGUGAAAUGCGUAGAUAUCAAGAGGAACACCUGCGGCGAAGGCGGGUUGCUGGGCCGACACUGACGCUGAGGCGCGAAAGCUAGGGGAGCGAACGGG
rnacentral:rRNA from 1 species